rnacentral:rRNA from 1 species
GCAGUCGACGAAGCCUUCGGGCUUAGUGGCGGACGGGUGAGUAACGCGUGGGAACGUGCCCCUUGGUACGGAAUAGUCCCGGGAAACUGGGUUUAAUACCGUAUAUUCUCUCUGGAGGAAAGAUUUAUCGCCAAGGGAUCGGCCCGCGUUGGAUUAGGUAGUUGGUGGGGUAAUGGCCUACCAAGCCCGCGAUCCAUAGCUGGUUUGAGAGGAUGAUCAGCCACACUGGGACUGAGACACGGCCCAGACUCCUACGGGAGGCAGCAGUGGGGAAUCUUAGACAAUGGGGGAAACCCUGAUCUAGCCAUGCCGCGUGAGCGAUGAAGGCCUUAGGGUUGUAAAGCUCUUUCGCUGGGGAAGAUAAUGACGGUACCCAGUAAAGAAGCCCCGGCUAACUCCGUGCCAGCAGCCGCGGUAAUACGGAGGGGGCUAGCGUUGUUCGGAAUUACUGGGCGUAAAGCGCGCGUAGGCGGAUUGGAAAGUUGGGGGUGAAAUCCCGGGGCUCAACCCCGGAACUGCCUCCAAAACUAUCAGUCUGGAGUUCGAGAGAGGUGAGUGGAAUUGCGAGUGUAGAGGUGAAAUUCGUAGAUAUUCGCAGGAACACCAGUGGCGAAGGCGGCUCACUGGCUCGAUACUGACGC